GGGGUACUCGAGUGGCGAACGGGUGAGUAACACGUGGGUGAUCUGCCCUGCACUUUGGGAUAAGCCUGGGAAACUGGGUCUAAUACCGAAUAGGACCGCGCUCUUCAUGGGGUGUGGUGGAAAGCUUUUGCGGUGUGGGAUGGGCCCGCGGCCUAUCAGCUUGUUGGUGGGGUAAUGGCCUACCAAGGCGACGACGGGUAGCCGGCCUGAGAGGGUGACCGGCCACACUGGGACUGAGAUACGGCCCAGACUCCUACGGGAGGCAGCAGUGGGGAAUAUUGCACAAUGGGCGCAAGCCUGAUGCAGCGACGCCGCGUGAGGGAUGACGGCCUUCGGGUUGUAAACCUCUUUCAAUAGGGACGAAGCGCAAGUGACGGUAUGUGUAGAAGAAGGACCGGCCAACUACGUGCCAGCAGCCGCGGUAAUACGUAGGGUCCGAGCGUUGUCCGGAAUUACUGGGCGUAAAGAGCUCGUAGGUGGUUUGUCGCGUUGUUCGUGAAAACUCACAGCUUAACUGUGGGCGUGCGGGCGAUACGGGCAGACUAGAGUACUGCAGGGGAGACUGGAAUUCCUGGUGUAGCGGUGGAAUGCGCAGAUAUCAGGAGGAACACCGGUGGCGAAGGCGGGUCUCUGGGCAGUAACUGACGCUGAGGAGCGAAAGCGUGGGGAGCGAAUCAGGAUUAGAUACCCUGGUAGUCCACGCCGUAAACGGUGGGUACUAGGUGUGGGUUUCCUUCCUUGGGAUCCGUGCCGUAGCUAACGCAUUAAGUACCCCGCCUGGGGAGUACGGCCGCAAGGCUAAAACUMAAAGGAAUUGACGGGGGCCCGCACAAGCGGCGGANCAUGUGGAUUAAUUCGAUGCAACGCGAAGAACCUUACCYGGGUUUGANAUGCACAGGACGCCAGUAGAGAUAUUGGUUCCCUUGUGGCCUGUGUGCAGGUGGUGCAUGGCUGUCGUCAGCUCGUGUCGUGAGAUGUUGGGUUAAGUCCCGCAACGAGCGCAACCCUUGUCUCAUGUUGCUUNCCAGCACGUUAUGGUGGGGACUCGUGAGAGACUGCCGGGGUCAACUCGGNNNNNNNNGGGUGANGUCAAGUCAUCAUGCCCNUNAUGUCCAGGUCUUCCCACNUGCUANNAUGGNNGGUACNAANGNNUGCGAUGCCNNNGGGNGGANCGAAUCNNUUCAAANCNNUNUUCANUUNGNAUCGGGGUCUGNANNNNGACCCC
rnacentral:rRNA from 1 species